AGUAAAAGAGAAGAAAAGCGAUGGCGAGAAAGAGGAAGAGAAGCCCAUAAAGAAGGAGAAAGAAGAGACUAACGAUUAUGAUCUCAGCAAAUAUUAUGAUAACGAUAAAGAAAAGACCGACGAAAAAGACAAGACGAAGAAAGAUGACGGAAGUGACAAAGAAGUAAAAGAGAAGAAAAGCGAUGGCGAGAAAGAGGAAGUGAAGCCCACAAAGAAGGAGAAAGAAGAGACUAACGAUUAUGACCUCAGCAAAUAUUAUGACAACGAUAAAGAAAAGACCGACGAAAAAGACAAGACGAAGAAAGAUGACGGAAGUGACAAAGAAGUAAAAGAGAAGAAAAGCGAUGGCGAGAAAGAGGAAGGAAAGAGGAAGAGAAACCCACAAAGAAGGAGAAAGAAGAGACUAACGAUUAUGACCUUAGCAAAUAUUAUAGCAACGAUAAAGAAAAGACCGACGAAAAAGACAAGACGAAGAAAGAUGACGGAAGUGACAAAGAAGUAAAAGAGAAGAAAACCAGUCCUUCCGAGAUUGAUCGAUUGGUUUUUAAAAACUCCACUUGAGCUCAAGAUUCUUCACUUCCUCCUGGCCGCAUGCAUGUGGGUGGUAAGCGAAAAACAAAUAAAAAAAAAAAAAAAAAAAAAAAAAAAAAAAUAAUAAAAAAAAAAAAAAAAAAAGACCGACGAAAAAGACAAGGCGAAGAAAGAUGACGGAAAUGACAAAGAAGUAAAAGAGAAGAAAGGCGAUGGCGAGAAAGAGGAAGAGAAGCCCAUAAAAAAAGAAAAAGAAGAGACUAACGAUUAUGACCUCAGCAAAUAUUAUGACAACGAUAAAGAAAAGACCGACGAAAAAGACAAGACGAAGAAAG
rnacentral:lncRNA from 1 species